rnacentral:lncRNA from 1 species
UGACUUUGUAGUCUUGAAGUUAAUGUCUUUGCGUUUACCGUAGAAACCAGUGCAUGACAAAUAAAGAGGAAUAAUAACCGAAAAUUUUUCAACCAAGGUUUGAACAGUUUUGUUACGCUUUGCCCUCACCAAUGAAUCAUAAACAUACAGUUGCCGGUCCUUUAUGUCAAACACUAACAACAACCAAUGAAAGUUCUUUACAAGGUUAACAUGCAUUAGCACAUAAUCCACAAGAUC